GGCGGGGGCGGGGGCGGAGGGAGGGCGGUGAGGGCGCGGCCUGGGUCACGUGACGGGAUUUCAGUGUUUACAUUCGGAGCGGGACAAGCCCACGGCUCUGUCCGCCCGCUCGGGUCCCUUUCGGUU
rfam:Macropus eugenii Contig5013, whole genome shotgun sequence.